rnacentral:rRNA from 1 species
GACGAACGCUGGCGGCGUGCUUAACACAUGCAAGUCGAACGGAAAGGCCCUGCUUUUGUGGGGUGCUCGAGUGGCGAACGGGUGAGUAACACGUGAGUAACCUGCCCUUGACUUUGGGAUAACUUCAGGAAACUGGGGCUAAUACCGGAUAGGAGCUCCUGCUGCAUGGUGGGGGUUGGAAAGUUUCGGCGGUUGGGGAUGGACUCGCGGCUUAUCAGCUUGUUGGUGGGGUAGUGGCUUACCAAGGCUUUGACGGGUAGCCGGCAUGAGAGGGUGACCGGCCACAUGGGGACUGAGAGACGGCCCAGAAUCCUACGGGAGGCAGCAGUGGGGAAUAUUGCACAAUGGGCGGAAGCCUGAUGCAGCAACGCCGCGUGCGGGAUGACGGCCUUCGGGUUGUAAACCGCUUUCGCCUGUGACGAAGCGUGAGUGACGGUAAUGGGUAAAGAAGCACCGGCUAACUACGUG